rnacentral:rRNA from 1 species
GCACUGGCUUUACUGAUUCCUCCUUCUUGACGAACCGUGAUGUCAUUAAUUUGGUGUUGCGGGAAAUCAGGACUGUUACUUUGAAAAAAUUAGAGUGUUUAAAGCAGGCUAACGCUUGAAUACAUUAGCAUGGAAUAAUGAAAUAGGACGUUAAUCCUAUUUUGUUGGUUUCUAGGAUCGACGUAAUGAUUAAUAGGGAUAGUUGGGGGCAUUAGUAUUCAAUUGUCAGAGGUGAAAUUCUUGGAUUUAUUGAAGACUAACUACGGCGAAAGCAUUUGCCAAGGAUGUUUUCAUUAAUCAAGAACGAAAGUUAGGGGAUCAAAGACGAUCAGAUACCGUCGUAGUCUUAACCAUAAACUAUGCCGACUAGGGAUCGGAUGAUGUUAAUUCUUUAGUGACUC